rnacentral:misc_RNA from 1 species
GAUGAAGAACGUAGCGAAAUGCGAUAAGUAACGUGAAUUGCAGAAUUCAGUGAAUCAUCGAAUCUUUGAACGCAUCUUGCGCUCCUUGGUAUUCCUUGGAGCAUGCCUGUUUGAGUAUCAUGAGCAAAUCUCAAAGUCAAUUCCUUUUGUUAAUUCAAUUGGUUUUGCUUUGGACUUGGAGGUCUUGCAGAUUUUCACAGUCUGCUCCUCUUAAAUGCAUUAGCUGGAUCUCAGUAAUUAUGCUUGGUUCCACUCGGCGUGAUAAGUAUCACUCGCUGAGGACACUGUUAAAAAGGUGGCCAGGAAAAUACUGAUUGAACCGCUUCUAACGGUCUAUUAAGUUAGACAAUUACCCUUAAGUUUGAUCUCAAAUCAGGUAGGACUACCCGCUGAACUUAAGCAUAUCAAUAAGCGGAGGA